GAGCCCGUAGCUCAGCCGGUAGAGCAACUGACUUUUAAUCAGUAGGUCUCGGGUUCG
rnacentral:tRNA from 1 species